AUCAAGUUACGUGGUGAACGAGAACGAUGGUUCAGUGAAAUUGCAGAUCGAUAGAAUAUCCGGAUCACUCAAUAAAGUCACUUUGUACUGGAAAUCCACUGGUAUAUCGGCUACACUUAACAGCGACUACAAAGGUGCUUCUGGAUCUAUAACAUUUGGUGUUGGUGAAAAAUGGAAAUCCAUCGUUAUUCCCAUCGUCAACAAUCAGGUCUUUGAGCAAACAGAAACGUUCAAAGUAACCUUAACAUCAGCAAGUACUGGAGGAGAAGUAGGCCCCCGUCGGGACACAGUUGUUACGAUUAAGGAUGAUGAUUUGCCGUGUGGAGGAAAGUGCAAGUAUUAUUCGAACUCCUAUUGUAAUCUCAAAACCAACAAAUGUGUUUGUAAGCAGAACUUCUACGGAAAUCCGUACAUUGGAGGAUGCCGAUGCGGUGGUGGUGGAGGAGGAGGAGGAGGCUACUAGUCUUACUGGUUUCAUUUGUUCUGUGUCAAAUUUCAAAGUGCACUAGAAAACACUGUAAAUGCCAAUAAAAAUGGAGCAUUAUUUCAACGUUUAUGUUUUAAAUGUAUC